UGCCGGUAGUGACAGCGCCACCAAGAGCGCAAGAUACUGCACCGGGAAGCUGCAAAUCCACUCACUUCACAUCACCGUGCUGGGAUACGCCGCCACUUGAUGCUCAACCUCCGCUCAUCGCUUUUUUAGGUUCAAGUUGAUACCUCAUUGGAUCAUUCGUCGGGUAUUGUAUACUCAUGUGGCGGGAGCAUCAUUACAAGGAACGUUAUUCUGACUGCGUCGCACUACUUGUUUACAGUCGGACGCCCGAAGCCACGAGAAGGAAAUCCAGCGAUACGGCCCAUGACAUUUGGAACUAUUGAAGAUAAUGUGGGUCUGAGCUCGGUAAGCUACUUCUUUGGCAGAAAACGAUAAGUGCGCAGUAGCAAUACGACUGUCUGAGACCCAACGCUAGCU